UCGAGAAUCAUUCGCAAUGGGCGCAAGCCUGACGAUGCGACGCCGUGUGUGCGAUGAAGGCCUUCGGGUUGUAAAGCACUUUCGCUUGGGAACAAGAGAAGCUGGCUAACAUCCAGCUGAUUUGAGGGUACCAGGUAAAGAAGCACCGGCUAACUCCGUGCCAGCAGCUGCGGUAAUACGGAGGGUGCAAGCAUUAAUCGGAUUUAUUGGGCGUAAAGGGCGCGUAGGCGGGCAUGUAAGUCAGAUGUGAAAUGCCGGAGCUCAACUCCGGAACAGCAUUUGAAACUGUGUGUCUAGAGGGUAGGGGGAGAAAAUAGAAUUCCACAAGUAGCGGUGAAAUGCGUAGAUAUGUGGAAGAAUACCAGUGGCGAAGGCGAUUUUCUACCUUAUACCUGACGCUGAGGCGCGAAAGCAAGGGGAUCAAACAGGAUUAGAUACCCCCGUAGUCC
rnacentral:rRNA from 1 species